AUUGAACGCUGGCGGCAGGCCUAACACAUGCAAGUCGAGCGGCAGCGGGACCUUCGGGUUGCCGGCAAGCGGCGGACGGGUGAGUAAUGCCUAGGAAUCUGCCCGUUAGUGGGGGAUAACGCGGGGAAACUCGCGCUAAUACCGCAUACGUCCUACGGGAGAAAGCGGGGGCUCUUCGGACCUCGCGCUAACAGAUGAGCCUAGGUCGGAUUAGCUAGUUGGUGGGGUAAUGGCCCACCAAGGCGACGAUCCGUAACUGGUCUGAGAGGAUGAUCAGUCACACUGGAACUGAGACACGGCCCAAACUCCUACGGGAGGCAGCAGUGGGGAAUAUUGGACAAUGGGCGCAAGCCUGAUCCAGCCAUGCCGCGUGCGGGAUGAAGGCCCUUGGGUUGUAAACCGCUGUCAGAGGGGAUGAAAUCUCCGGAGGUUCUCCUCCGGAGUUGACAGAGCCUCAGAGGAAGCACGGGCUAAGUAUGUGCCAGCAGCCGCAGUAAAAC
rnacentral:rRNA from 1 species